rnacentral:rRNA from 1 species
GAUGAACGCUGGCGGCGUGCCUAAUACAUGCAAGUCGAGCGAACGGACGAGAAGCUUGCUUCUCUGAUGUUAGCGGCGGACGGGUGAGUAACACGUGGAUAACCUACCUAUAAGACUGGGAUAACUUCGGGAAACCGGAGCUAAUACCGGAUAAUAUUUUGAACCGCAUGGUUCAAAAGUGAAAGACGGUCUUGCUGUCACUUAUAGAUGGAUCCGCGCUGCAUUAGCUAGUUGGUAAGGUAACGGCUUACCAAGGCAACGAUGCAUAGCCGACCUGAGAGGGUGAUCGGCCACACUGGAACUGAGACACGGUCCAGACUCCUACGGGAGGCAGCAGUAGGGAAUCUUCCGCAAUGGGCGAAAGCCUGACGGAGCAACGCCGCGUGAGUGAUGAAGGUCUUCGGAUCGUAAAACUCUGUUAUUAGGAAAGAAAAUAUGUGUAAGUAACUGUGCACAUCUUGACGGUACCUAAACAGAAAGCAACGGCUAACUACGUG